rnacentral:rRNA from 1 species
AUUGAACGCUGGCGGCAGGCCUAACACAUGCAAGUCGAACGAGUGGCGUACGGGUGAGUAACGUCUGGGAAACUGCCUGCUGGAGGGGGUUACUUACUGGAAACGGUAGCUAAUACCGCAUACCAUCCGAUUUGCCCAUAUUGCAUUAGCUGGUUGGUGGGGUAACGGCUCACCUAGGCGACGAUCCCUAGCUGGUCUGAGAGGAUGACAAGCCACACUGGAACUGAGACACGGUCCAGACUCCUACGGGAGGCAGCGGUGGGGAAUAUUGCACAAUGGGCACAAGCCUGAUGCAGCCAUGCCGCGUGUAUGAAGAAGGCCUUCGGGUUGUAAAACACUUUCAGCGGGGAAGCGUUACCCGCAGAAGAAGCACCGGCUAACUCCGUGCCAGCAGCCGCGGUAAUUC